rnacentral:rRNA from 1 species
CCCUUAGAUGUUCUGGGCCGCACGCGUGCUACACUGAUGCAUUCAACGAGUCUAAAACCUGGUCUGAUAGGGCUGGGUAAUCUUUUGAAAGUGCAUCGUGAUUGGGAUAGAUGAUUGCAAUUCUUCAUCUUCAACGAGGAAUGCCUAGUAAACGCAAGUCAUCAGCUUGCAUUGAUUACGUCCCUGCCCUUUGUACACACCGCCCGUCGCUACUACCGAUUGAAUGAUUUAGUGAGGACUUCGGACUGGGACCGAUGCGGCUUUCGGGCUGCGUCGGUAUUCUGGAAAGAUGUCCAAACUGUAUCAUUUAGAGGAAGUAAAAGUCGUAACA